rnacentral:rRNA from 1 species
GCGAACGUUAGCGGCAAGGCUUAACACAUGCAAGUCGAGCGAGAAACGGGGCUUCGGGCCCCUAGUACAAGCGGCAGACGGGUGAGUAAACACGUGGGUAAUGUACCCUUCGGCGGGGGAUAAACAGUCCGAAAGGAUUGCUAAUUACCGCACUUCGUUCGGCCGGGGACCCCGGUCCUGGUCGGGAAAGGUGGCCUCUCCAUGGAAGCUACUACCACCGAAGGAGCAGCCCGCGUCCCAUCAGCUAGUUUGGCGGGGUUAAACGGCCCCACCAAGGCAAUAGACGGGUAGCUGGUCUGAGAGGAUGAUCAGCCACACUGGAAACUGAGACACGGUCCAGACUCCUACGGGAGGCAGCAGUGGGGAAUAUUGGGCAAUGGGCGCAAGCCUGACCCAGCCAUGCCGCGUGAGUGAUGAAGGGCCUUCGGGUCGUAAAGCUCUGUGGGGAGGGACGAAACCGGACGUGGCCAAUAUCCACGGCCCUUGACGGUACCUCCUUAGCAAGCACCGGCUAACUCCGUGCCAGCAGCCCGCGGUAAUACGGAGGGUGCAAAACGUUGCUCGGAAUCAUUGGGCGUAAAGCGCACGUAGGGCGGGCCUGUUAAGUCGGGUGAUGAAAUCCCUCGGCUCAACCGAGGAAGUGCAUUCGAAAACUGGCGGGCUUGAGUAUGGAAGGAGGGUCGUGGAAUUCCCGGUGUAGAGGUGAAAUUCGUAGAUAUCGGGGAGGAACACCAGUGGCGAAGGCGGCGACCUGGGGCCAAUACUGACGCUGAGGUGCGAAAAGCGUGGGGAGCAAACAGGAUUAGAUACCCUGGUAGUCCACGCCGUAAACGAUGGAUGCUAGGCGUUGGGGGGUAUUGACCCCUCCAGUGCCGCAGUUAACGCAUUAAGCAUCCCGCCCUGGGGAGUACGGCCGCAAGGCUAAAACUCAAAGGAAUUGACGGGGGGCCCCGCACAAGCGGUGGAGCAUGUGGUUUAAAUUCGACGCAACGCGCAGAAACCUUACCUGGGUUAAAAUCCACCGGAAACCUUGCAGAGAUGUAGGGGUGCUCUUUCGGAGAGCCGGUGAGAAGGUGCUGCAUGGCUGUCGUCAGCUCGUGUCGUGAGAUGUUGGGUUAAGUCCCGCAAACGAGCGCAACCCCUGUCGUUAGUUGCUAACGCGUCAUGGCGAGCACUCUAAACGAGACUGCCGACGUUAAGUCGGAGGAAGGUGGGGAUUGACGUCAAGUCCUCAUUGGCCCUUACGCCCAGGGCUACACAACGUGCUACAAAUGGCCGGUACAAAGGGUUUGCAAGCACGCGAGUGCAAGCCAAUCCCAAAAAAAACCGGUCUCAGUUCGGAUUGGAGUCUGCAACUCUCGACUCCAUGAAGUCGGAAUCGCUAGUAAUUCGCGGAUCAGGCAUGCCGCGGUGGAAUACGUUCCCGGGCCUUGUACACACACCGCCCGUCACACCAUGGGGAGUCAGUUGCUCCAGAAAUGGCUGCGCUAUAAACCCGCAAGGGGGGGCAGGCCCUUAAGGAGUGACUGGUAACUGGGGUG